CUCCGAUUUGACUUGAAAUGAUAAUUGAACAUCCUGAAUGACGCGGCCGACGAGUUUUACAGCUAUCGAGUAAUUACUCAACCAACAAAUAGGACGACGAUUUAAAUCGAAAAAUAGGUAGUGAAAACCAUCGUAAAAUGGGUUUAAUCGGAUCGGAAUUUCGUAAACAAAUAGCGGGUAUGGAGCAUGACAGGUGCCGUUGAGAUGGGCGGAGGGGUUGUAUGAAGCAAUGGAAGUCCAUUACUGGGCAUACAAACUGCCCUCGACGGAGCAAUACUGUGAUUAAGCGCUCCGAGAAACUCCAAAUUACACUAACAAGUCUUUCCGAUAGCGGACGGAAUAAG